rnacentral:rRNA from 1 species
AGAGAGAGUUAAAAGCACGUGAAGCCGUUGAAAGGGAAACGCGCUCGGCUAGCAAUGUGCCACGACGGUUCAGCCGUCUUGGGCGGCGGGGCGGUAGUUGUCGGAUCCGAAUGGACCGCGGCUGCCGUGGUCGUCGUCCGAGAUGCGGUGCACUCUUUCGUGGUACGCGUCAGCGUCGGUUCACGGCGGGCGACAAGGCUCUGCGGAAGGUAGCUUGAAGCUUGCUUCAAGUGUUAUAGACGUGGAAGCUGGGUCUGCCGUGGACCGAGGAGAGAGAGUAUCGUUGCAGCGCAUGCCGCAAGGCUAGCUACCCGUUGUCCGGCUCGCUUCACGGUCUGAGGACUGCACGCAGUGCUCGGGUUGGCGGAGUGGUCUGAUGGUGGUGUGGUAUAAAUGCGCUCAGGACGCUGGCGUCCAAAUGGCCGUGCGCGACCCGUCUUGAAACACGGAA